ACAGGCCCACAGCUGAUCCAUCUCCCAGUGCACAAUUGAGACAGAGGAGGUUAAAGCACUCUGAACGCACGGGACCAUAUUGCAGCUGGAGAUGCUCGAUGGCUUCAUAAACAAAGAGGCAGUAAACAUAAACAGCAAGAGAAGGCAUUAAAGCGCCUCCCAGCACUCCUCCAUGUUCUCCUCCAUCUGCCUCCUGUCCAUUGAUCAGCCUUCCAGGGCAUCAGUCUGUUUAACAUCUGCUACAAGUUCCAGCAGCUCAGAUGCGCAGAGGCUGUAAUGAAGAGCUCUUGAACUCGCAGUCAGAGAAGCUGUGACAGGAGUUCAGGAGGAUGCCUCUUUGGCUCUGCUGGACGUACAACACACACACACCGGUACACACUCAGGCACACACGAACCCAGAGACAGCAGCAAACAGCUAAUGUAGGAAUCAGAAAGAAGCUGUCAAUCACAAAUCACUCGCUUUUCAUUUAAAGUGUA